AUUGAACGCUGGCGGCAGGCUUAACACAUGCAAGUCGAGCGGGGAAGGUUGCUUCGGUAACUGACCUAGCGGCGGACGGGUGAGUAAUGCUUAGGAAUCUGCCUAUUAGUGGGGGACAACAUUCCGAAAGGAAUGCUAAUACCGCAUACGCCCUACGGGGGAAAGCAGGGGAUCUUUGGACCUUGCGCUAAUAGAUGAGCCUAAGUCGGAUUAGCUAGUUGGUGGGGUAAAGGCCUACCAAGGCGACGAUCUGUAGCGGGUCUGAGAGGAUGAUCCGCCACACUGGGACUGAGACACGGCCCAGACUCCUACGGGAGGCAGCAGUGGGGAAUAUUGGACAAUGGGCGGAAGCCUGAUCCAGCCAUGCCGCGUGUGUGAAGAAGGCCUUUUGGUUGUAAAGCACUUUAAGCGAGGAGGAGGCUCCUUUAGUUAAUACCUAAAGAGAGUGGACGUUACUCGCAGAAUAAGCACCGGCUAACUCUGUGCCAGCAGCCGCGGUAAGAC
rnacentral:rRNA from 1 species